rnacentral:rRNA from 1 species
GUAGGUGGCGAGCGUUGUCCGGAUUUACUGGGCGUAAAGCGCGCGCAGGCGGGCUGGUCAGUCCGGGGUGAAAUCUCACGGCUCAACUGUGAGGGGUCCCCGGAUACUGCCAGUCUUGAGGUGCCUAGAGGAGAGUGGAAUUCCCGGUGUAGUGGUGGAAUGCGUAGAUAUCGGGAGGAACACCAGUGGCGAAAGCGGCUCUCUGGGGGCAACCUGACGCUGAGGCGCGAAAGCGUGGGGAGCGAACCGGGAUUAGAUACCCGGGUAGUCCACGCCGUAAACGAUGAGCACUAGCUGUCGGGGGUAUCGACCCCCCCUCGGUAGCGCAGCUAACGCGUUAAGUGCUCCGCCUGGGGACUACGGCCGCAAGGCUA